rnacentral:misc_RNA from 1 species
GGGAGGGACUGAAGGAAAAUUUAUUGUUUGGAACAACUUAAAAGGAAAUAUUAUUUCAGAUGUUUAUAACAUAUGUCCCUGGCAUGUUUUCAUGCAAUUGAAACGCAAGGUGCUUGUUUAUUUCCCCGUGGUCCUGGGUAGCGUCUUCUUUCAGAGGUCAGAAAAUCAUUAGACGGAGCUAUUUUGCAAAUGCAGUCCCUAUGCAACCUUUUUCUACGAAACUGGAGAAAUAGCAAGACAAUAAAAAAUAGAAUGUUGUGCUUCUUAUU